UACUUUAAGUCCAGUUAUUUUUACUUAGCAUUCUUUUGUGCAAAACACUUCCAGCGAAAAAUUAAUUGACAAAUGAAAUUGACAUCAAAUGCAUCACGUGGGGCGUGACGAACUCACGCAUGCUCGAUGGAAAAGAAGACAGUUUCAUAAUUCAGUUUUCUCUCUCAAUUGGCGAAGGAGACAACUGCUUGCAGGGUAAGAGUUCACACACGCUUAAAGUUCUGACUGGAAGGUGGAAGUGCCAAUGUUUUCUUCGGAGAAAAGUCCAAAAAUGGUUCCGCCGGACAAAUGUCAUUCGCAAUCCCCU